rnacentral:rRNA from 1 species
AGCAGCCGCGGUAAUUCCAGCUCCAAUAGCGUAUAUUAAAGUUGUUGCAGUUAAAAAGCUCGUAGUUGAAUUUCGGGAUCAAUUUAUCGGUCGUGCAAUAGUACGUACUGAUUUUAUUGAUUCCUCCCUUCUGAUGAACUAUGAUGUCAUUAAUUUGGUGUCAUAGGGAAUCAGGACUGUUACUUUGAAAAAAUUGAGUGUUUAAAGCAGGCUCACGCUUGAAUACAUUAGCAUGGAAUAACGAAAUAGGACGUUUGAUUCUAUUUUGUUGGUUUCUAGGAUCGACGUAAUGAUUAAUAGGGAUAGUUGGGGGCAUUAGUAUUCAAUUGUCAGGGGUGAAAUUCUUGGAUUUAUGAAGACUAACUACUGCGAAAGCAUUUGCCAAGGAUGUUUUCAUUAAUCAAGAACGAA